UAGGGAAUCUUCGGCAAUGGGGGGAACCCUGACCGAGCAACGCCGCGUGAGUGAAGAAGGUUUUCGGAUCGUAAAUCUCUGUUGUUAAGGAAGAACGAGUGUGAGAAUGGAAAGUUCAUGCUGUGACGGUACUUAACCAGAAAGGGACGGCUAACUACGUUCCAGCAGCCGCGGUAAUACGUAGGUCCCGAGCGUUGUCCGGAUUUAUUGGGCGUAAAGCGAGCGCAGGCGGUUAGAAAAGUCUGAAGUGAAAGGCAGUGGCUCAACCAUUGUAGGCUUUGGAAACUGUUUAACUUGAGUGCAGAAGGGGAGAGUGGAAUUCCAUGUGUAGCGGUGAAAUGCGUAGAUAUAUGGAGGAACACCGAUGGCGAAAGCGGCUCUCUGGUCUGUAACUGACGCUGAGGCUCGAAAGCGUGGGGAGCGAACAGG
rnacentral:rRNA from 1 species